rnacentral:tRNA from 1 species
GGGUAGGUGCCGGAGCGGUCAAACGGGGUGGACUGUAAAUCCACUGGCUUACGCCUACGAUGGUUCGAACCCAUCCCUGCCCACCA